GUGUUUGCUUCAGCAACACAUAUACUAAAAUUGGAACAAUGGAAGAUUAGUGUGGCCCCAGUGCAAGGAUGACACGUAAAUUUGUAAAGGGUUCCGUAUUUUA